AUUGAACGCUGGCGGCAUGCCUUACACAUGCAAGUCGAACGGCAGCAUGAUCUAGCUUGCUAGAUUGAUGGCGAGUGGCGAACGGGUAAGUAAUACAUCGGAACGUGCCCUGUAGUGGGGGAUAGCUAGUCGAAAGAUUAGCUAAUACCGCAUACGACCUGAGGGUGAAAGUGGGGGACCGCAAGGCCUCAUGCCAUAGGAGCGGCCGAUGUCUGAUUAGCUAGUUGGUGAGGUAAAGGCGCACCAAGGCGACGAUCAGUAGCUGGUCUGAGGGACGAUCAGCCACACUGGGACUGAGACACGGCCCAGACUCCUACGGGAGGCAGGAGUGGGGAAUUUUGGACAAUGGGGGCAACCCUGAUCCAGCAAUGCCGCGUGUGUGAAGAAGGCCUUCGGGUUGUAAAGCACUUUUGUCCGGAAAGAAAUCGCACUUACUAAUAUUAGGUGUGGAUGACGGUACCGGAAGAAUAAGGACCGGCUAACUACGUGCCAGCCGCCGCAGUAAAAC
rnacentral:rRNA from 1 species